UUGAAAUACUAUUUUCUCUCAUGUCUCCUUCCUCUAGCAAACAGAGGCAACAUUACUACUUAGGAAAAGUAAGUGGGUGCCAUUUCUUUUCAUCGAUGAUGAUUUGUGAGAUUUUCUUCACUCUCUCCUUCACUCAGCCCUAGGUUCUUUUCCUGGAGUUUCUGUUUCAUGGCCCUGAGAUUACUUCCUCAUUUUCGUAGAUAUGUACAGUAAUAUUUCACUUCCACUUUGUUUCCAGAUGAGAAUGGAGGAGUUUAGUCUUAAGAAAAACUAGGCCUGUUCCACAUGACCUUGGACAGUCUAAAGCAGCCACAGAGCACUGGUAGUUGAGAAAUCAGUAAUGGGACCAUAUCAAAUCCAGUCAAAGUUUUGACCCUGAAAUGGUAAUGAAUUCAUUUCUUCCCAAGGUUUCUGGGAGUGGUAGCUUUGUAAACCCAAUCUUUUCCUUUGGUACUUGGUGCUUUAAUUAAGGCAUGUGAAUCAACUAUGAAAUUAAGAACAGAUAUACUAUGUAGACUCAAUCUAUUUAUUAGCCACUACUGAUGGUAUUCUUGCUAACGACAGGAACAGUGUUAUAGUGUCCCCCACAUUCACACACAUCAACAAGCACAUUAAAGCAAGUUCCUGAAAUCAGAUUCUUCCCUCAUGCUUCUUUCCACUCAGUCAUACAAAGCCUACAACUGACAGAAAAGAGGACAGAAUGAGCCUGUUUGAGGUCAAUGCCAGGCAGGCAUGGCUGAAGGGAAAAUUCUGUUGCCACAGCCAGUAACUUCUGUGUUCUGUGCUUCCCCCCUGAGCGCCCCAGCCACAUCCUCCUAGGCCCUCAAACCACAGGCCUCUGCAUCAGGAAAUGUGGUCAGGACUCUCUCACAGACACUAUGGCUGAGCACAAAGGGCAGAAAUGAAACUGCUGGGGCUUGAGAGGGCAGAGCUGUGCCCCUCAGAGCAAGAGAGCCCUGUGCCCUAUCUUCUUUCCCACCUCAGCGGACAGUGCAAAGACAACCUCCCCUGCCACACUGCUUGGAGUGAGACCCACCUCCCACCCCAAUCCCCCUCACCACCUAGUCCUUACUAAUGGUCUGAGGAGACAUUUUGGGUAGGUGGUUUAGAUGGGAAGGCAACCUCCUCAGCAUUGAGAAAUGUGUGUUCCGUGAAGCAACCUCUCACACUAUUAAGAAUAACCAACCACUCACAAAGCACUUAAAUCUCACCACAACCAUAGGAAAUGGGUAUUGUUAUUACUCUUAUUCCACUGAUGAGGAAACUGAGGUCCAGAUAGGUUAAAUAACUUCUCAGAUGACAAACAGCUUGUCAGUAAUAAAGCCAAGAUUUGAAUCCAGGCAGUGAAGUGUGAAUCUGCACUUUUAACUGCCUUUAAGCAAAAGAUAAGUAAAUGCACACUGAGUCUGUAAGUCUGCACAGCCAGUCAGAAUUUGUGUCUGACCCGUAUGGAGCAUGAGGUGAAAUUAGAGGAUGAAGUUUCUUUCUCAUAGAAGCAAUGCUUACAGGUGAAGAUCAGAACUGAAUAAUUUGAACCAGUAGAAAUUCCUUCCAUAGGUGAGAUGGCCUUCAAGAGAAACAGGAAGAUUACCUUCCUUUAACAUGGAUCCGUGUGCUACAACAAUGGACGUCUGCGUUAAGGCUUAUCUAGCCCUCCGUCAUCACACAAACCUGCUGAUCAUUCUGUUCUCCAUGAUGCUGAUGACGGGCAUGCCCCAGUUAACAAGCAAAGAGGACAUUGAAUACAUUCGGGAUGCCCUAACAGUGGGGAAAAAUGAGGAGGAUGCUAAAAAGUAUUUUCUUGAUCAGAUUGAAGUUUGCAGAGACAAAGGGUGGACUGUGCAGUUUAACUGGUUCCUACAUCUUGUUCUUGGCAUCAAACAAGGAGAGAAACAUUCAGCCUAAUACUCUGCACUAGAAUCCAAAAGCCAGUGUCCUAAAGCUUUAAAUGAGCAGCAUGUCAGUCAUCAGACUUGGAUUUAAAAUGUAAUCGGACAUUACUAAAAGCUGGUGCUUCAAGAGCUAGAACUCUUUCCCUAGCCCAGAUCUUCACUGGAGACAAAUAUUGGCAUGUCUGACUGUUUAAGGAAUGUUUGGUUUUAGGCUUAUUUGCAGGUUUGUUUUUACUCAUUUGCCUCAGUGAUGUUGGAGAACAUUCUAAGUUUAAACAGACUAAUGACUUCCUCAUUGUGCCUGAUGUUUUGACUAUCCUAUUAUUGAGUGCUUCUAGAAAUUCUUUAGAAUAGUUGGUGGCAUCUAUUUGCAUCUGGAUUUACUCUCAACUUUGGUUAUCAUUGUGUUGCUUAAGCUGUUUUCAGAAAAAGAUGUGACCAUUGUAAUCUCUGUCUCAUUCCCCAACUGAUGCUUCCAAACAUCCCCCUCUCUAUCCAGAGAGGCCAAUGAUGUGCUAAAAGCAAGGAGAGCCAGUUAGUCUUUUCAGUGUCUUUCGUAAAUGGUUCUUUAAUAGUGUACAACGGAGACACACAAAAACAAAAUGAAAAAUCUGAACCUCUGUGCCCUGGCUUUUCUCUGCUGGUCUGGUUCCCAGCUUACAAAGAGGAAAAAUAGAGAUGAAACCAUUUGUCUCAACCUUGCCCACAGAGGGAACUAUGAAGGACAAUUAUCACAGCCUUCUCCAGCACAGAAACACAAAGUAACUAAAGGGACUCAUGUUUUGUCUUUGGAUUUUCCUCCCUUCUACCUCAAUUGCCACAUUCCCACAACUCUUUACCCAGAGUCGUGAAAUUUACAAGAACACCUUUACCCUAGAACUCAAAAAGCAGUUGAAAAAGAAUUUCUCCUCUAGGGUUACUAGAAUUUUAGGUACUUACUUGUAAAGAUGUUAGGGGAGUUUUUAAAAAGUACAUUAUUAAAGGAGACACUCUAGAAAGUAUGGAGUAGUUUUCAAAUGCCUUAAUUUUAGAUUCUGGUCUGAACAGUUUGUUUCUUAAUGGAAGAAGAUAUAUGCUAUCUAAAAAGUACUUCAAGUUAGGAAGAACACUACUGGACACCUCUCAGUUUAGAGGACUUUUAAACUUUGAUACAUUCUUCCAAUUUCCUAAACAUUGAAAUAUCUUUAAAAACUAUUUUCAUUGCUUACAUAUUUUGCUAUUCAUUGGAGUGUUCUUUAAUCUUAGAGAAAGAUUAUUAUUUAUAAAACAUUUAAAAAUCACCUAUAGUUACUACUUUAUAUAGAAAUAACUCUAUUAAUGGUGUCCAUGUUUAAGGGUAAUCAGAUGUAAAUAUAUACUUCAUUCAAAACUUUUCUGAAUAGAUAGAUGCCUGUUUGACUUGUGUAGCACACACAUUUCUUUCUUACACAUGUAAAAGACCUUCCAAGGUGUAGGUAACACUGCUUCCUUGGCUACUGAGCCCUUCCCCUGGCUCAUAAGAUAGCUAGAAGAACUCCUCUUCCUUUUAAAAUCACUCUAUAUCUCCCUGUACAGAGGACCAUGCCCUGCAGUGGAAUGUAUAAUCCUCUGUAUUAAUUUAGGGUAAACAUGGCACUUUCAGACCAACUAUUCCUUACUAUCCUUUUGAAUAAGAACAGGAAGAAUGACAUGUUCUAAUUCAGAAGAGGAUGUUUUCAUUAUUCUUAUAAAGAAUAGCUAAACUCAGAUCUUGCACUGAUUCUGCAUUUUAUUUGAAUUGCUGAAAUAAUCAUCUUAAUGAUAGAAGAAUUCAGAGGACUGUAUUUAUAUUUAGCUUACUGGCACAUGUGCAUACCUAUUUGCUCUUCAAAUGAACAAGUUCUUUCUUUAGGCUGAUUUAUAUUUAUCGCAUUAGGCUUGAUUUCUCCCAUAUUCCAAUGAAGGUAUAAUUUUAGCUCUAUAGGCUUGCAGAUAAACAAAAAUUACCUCUGUAUGCUUUCUUCCUUCCUUAUUCCUAGUGCAUCACAUGACCCAAACUUUUCUAUCUUUGAAAUUAUUCUAGAACUAGGGUAAGAGAUCACAAGUCAGAUGAUUCAGGUCUUUUAUGUAUAUCUAGGACUGGUUAUGAAAUUUGAGGGGCCCAGUGAAAAAUGAAAAUGUGGAGCCUGUUGUUCAAAAAUUAUUAAGAAAUUCAAGAUGGCAUCAGCAGAGCAUUAAGCCAAUCACAAGACCCUUCUGAGUGUGGGUCACUGCACAGGUCACGAGCCCCUGCAGCUGUAUGUAUCUGAAUAAUGCCUCUAAGUGCUCAGUUUUCUAUCUAGACCAUGUCUAUGUGGGUUCAGAUAAAGUGCCAAAUCAAAAUGUUCCUUCUGUUCAGACUGAAAUACUUCAUCUCUGUGGUUGUACAUUAGGACUUAAAACACUGGCCCGUUGCUUUUGGACUGGAACUAUGACCAAUAAAAGUAAAAUAAAGCAGGUGUUUUGGACCUAGCCUCAGGUGACUGACCAUCCUUGGUGAAAGUAGGAGGAGCAGAGACAUUGUAGAUAAAAUUUACCAAUUCCUAGAGGAAAUUCUUGACUUUUAGCAAAGUAACUUCAUUAAAUAUAUCUUUCACAGGAGAUGAACUUUUUUAAAAGAAAAGUUAGAUAUAGGAAUUCUGCAGCAUAAUUUGGAGGCUCUUAGUCCUAUUUAAAUGGAAAUUAAUUAUUUUUGAAAUGAGUCAAAAUAUAACUUAGUUUCUGGAGCAGAUUCUGGCUUUUAUUUGGUAAGCUAGACUCUAUUUGUCACAAUUGAGAAAUCAAUUGUCAAUUAUGUUUUACAAUAUGAAGGAAAAAAAUGAAAUAAAUUUGGAUUUUUAAGGCUC